AUCUUGCAUGACUAUCAUAAAAAAUAGCGGAACUUAUCUGUUUUAUUUCAAACACCCAAUUGAGUUGGCCAAUACUUAUUAUUCAUACCCCAAAAAUAAAACUGAACGAAAAUAAAAAUAAACUCAUCGUCUGCCCUUGUCUUGGCCCGCGUGUCAAUUAAAGAAGGUGCGCUGGGCCGUCAAACGUUUACACGCAUAAAUUUUGCAUACCCGAAUCCCAGCCCUCAAAAUCAAUCAAACUUUUAUAAGCGGCAAUUGAAAAGGCGCCAACAAUUUGGCAUUCCCAGCCAGCAGAGGUUCUUUAUAUACAUACUUAUAUAUAAAUAUAUAUGUAAUACAUAAGCAUACUAUAUAAAAGCAGCCCAGUUUUGGGACCAAAUUUGUGUUUGUGGGCCGAUAAAAAUCUCGUGAGACAAAAAAUAAAAAUACUAGGGAAGGAGAAAAGCAAAACCAAGGUGGGCUGAGAUUACUUUAGGCCACGUUUCGCUGUGGGGGACCCGUUCGUACGUACAUAAAGAGGCCAGCACCUAAGAGACCAUAAAAAUUGCCACAGUUAAGGGCAAAGCAAAUGCUAGUCUCCGGGAUGCGGGCAUCGUACAUGGCGUCCAGCGACUCCUUCAGUGCCGGACUCAUCACAAUAGUACCAUCAAUGGCCAGCUUCAGAUCGCAGAGGCACGUGUGGACACGUUUGAUGACGCGUUGCAUGCGAUCGAUUUCCUGCCUAAAAACGUAUACAAAUAGGUUAAUCACACCGAGUCUAGGCGGAGACCACUGCCACCACCGCCUCCUCCCCUUCACGGGCAUCGUUGAUUCACCUGAGAAAGAUGUUCAUUGGCAGCAGGAUGCCCAUGCGUGUCAGAUUCUCACGCACCUCGUACGCAUUGUACUGGGCGGGUAGCUUGCGCAGCAUAUCCUCGGCCAGUUGAUAGACGAUACUCUCACGGGUCUCGCCGCCUCCCCCGCCGCCCUCUUUGGGCUGGACACUCAGGAUGGUGUCAAGUAUGCCUGCAAAGUGUGAGCUGUGUCAUUGACCUGGACACAGAAAUUCAACAAUUGUUUCAUGUGAGCGAAACGGCAAAUAAUCGAAAAACCAAAACCAAAACCGAGAAGAAAAUUAAAUUUAAGCUCACCUUUGGCCGAGUUAAUCUGGUACGUGAUGUCAGCAUUUGAAUGUAAUCCAAACACCUCGGGCGUGUCGUAGGCGGGCAGACUAUUGAUGUAAUCGAUGAAACCCUGCAGGCUCUUCGUAUUGGGCACCUUGUAGCCCUUGUAGAACUCAAAGGUGUUGGACAGCAGCUGCUCGCAGAACCACACUGAGGUGAACGUGGUCAGCAGGCGCUUGUCGAAAUCAUCUGUGACUCGGCCACCAUACUGCACCUCGCCAAUCAUGUAGACCAGCGUUUGCCACGAGACGCCCUUCUUGGGAUCCAUUUCGUCCAAAUGGUUCUGUAUGAACUGUACGCUGGCUGCAAAGUCCGCCUGAUUGAAUUCAUAGGGUAUAUUCCAGCCGAGCGGGCCGAAUUUGCGCCGCUCCUGGACAAUGGUGUGCAGAAAGGCAACGGUAUACAGCAGAGAGGGCCACUGGGUGGCUGAGGUGUAGUCCAAAAAGUCCUGUGUAAACGACUGCGAAAGAAAAAUGAGAGGAAAGGAGUUAACUGAAUACACUCUUAGAAAUUCCUUAGGCAAAACAAUACUAUAUUUAUAAAUAACUGAAAAUUUUAUAUAUAGAUAGAGAUAAAAUUGCGAUUUAGAAUUGUGCUAUAAAUGUUCUAGUCAUAAAAAUAUUUUAUAAAAUGUAA